rnacentral:rRNA from 1 species
UACGUAGGGUGCAAGCGUUAAUCGGAAUUACUGGGCGUAAAGCGUGCGCAGGCGGUUUUGUAAGUCUGUCGUGAAAUCCCCGGGCUCAACCUGGGAAUUGCGAUGGAGACUGCAAGGCUAGAAUCUGGCAGAGGGGGGUAGAAUUCCACGUGUAGCAGUGAAAUGCGUAGAGAUGUGGAGGAACACCGAUGGCGAAGGCAGCCCCCUGGGUCAAGAUUGACGCUCAUGCACGAAAGCGUGGGGAGCAAACAGGAUUACGAAACCC